rnacentral:sRNA from 1 species
UGGAGAUCAUGUAUGAUGCUGAAAGCCAAACAUAUACCAGAUGGAUCAAUAAAUUGUUGAGUUCACUUAAUGGUUCAGUUCUACAAGGAUUAAAAUUUUGGUUUCAUGUGGGUCCUGAGUGUGAUACUGAUAAGUGGGUCCACUUUGCCAUUCAAAAGAAGGUUCAAAAGCUUGAGAUUUAUUUUGGGAAUACAUUUGAAUAUGUUCUUCCGUUGCACUUGUUUAAACUGGAAAGUUUUAAUUCCUUGCAUGUUUUGCGUCUGAAAUGCAUUACUGUGACCGAGGAGAUGCUAGAAUAUCUACUGCGCUGUUGUCCAUCACUUGAAACGUUGAACUUGGUUGACUCAGUAGUUCCAGAAACUAUGAGGGUUUCGGGUCCAUCACUCAAGCUGAAAAGUCUAGAAUUGAUGAGAUGUUGGGAGCUGCUAAGACUUGAAAUUUUUGCUGAGAAUUUGGUGUCAUUCAAAUACUACGGACCCCAUUUGGAUACAGAAUUUAAGAGUGUUCCUAGUCUUCUGGAAGCAACAUUUGGAGGCUCCUAUGUGGAGUUCACUAGAGAAAGCUUUUUACCACAGUUGGAAGUACUUACAUUGGAUAUUACACAAAACAUACCUGAAGUGAUUUGCUCGCUAGGUCAAAUUCCCAAGUUAAAAAAUAUCAAGCAUUUGGAGUUGGUUGCCUGUGGUGAUGAUGGAAUCACACUUGGUGCUUGUGCUUUGUUAUUAAGGGGAUCACCUUCACUGUGGAAGUUCACAUUAAAGAUGCUACAUACCAAACCCCCUUUAAGAAUACAACAAAAAAUUACAAUGAAA